GCCUCAUUAAUCCCAGUGAGCGGAUGAUCUAUUGUUUCCAGCUCAGGUCUCCGGUGGAUCGGCCUUCCUCUGCAGAGGCGGGAACCCCAUGCACGCACAGGGGCCGCCCAUCCCCUUCUCUCCUGUGCUUGACCUGCCAAGACUUGGUGAUGGGACCCCUGGUGGGGCUCUUGGCCCAGGUGAGCCACGGACUGAGUCCAGGACCAGUCCUCCACGGUGACCAUUGCUCCCCUACCCCAUGGGCAAAGUUGAAAAGCUGCAUUAUGUCCUGUGCUGCGGGGAAAGCGGCACUCAACGCGCUGUUGGCGGAGAGCUCUCUCCUGGACCUUGGAAUUGGGAAGGCAGGGCCAGGAAGCCAAGGCCGAGAAGAACUCGCUGGGCUUGGGCUGCAGCCUUGAAAUGGGAAGCUCCGAAAGCAGAGGGUUUUUUUUUUCUUCUGGAGCCUCCUUGGAAGCUUUGAGGUCAUUAUGGAUUGCAAGGAGAGAGAGAGAGACAGAGCAUGAGCGGGGGGAGGAGCAGAGAGAGAGGGAGACCCAGAAUUCGAAGCAGGCUCUAGGCUCUAUGCUGUCAGCACAGAGCCCGACGCGGGGUUCGAGCUCACGGACCGUGAGAUCAUGACCCGAGCCGAAGUCGGAAGCUUAAACGACUGAGCCACCCAGGCGCGCCUGAAACUUUUAAUUGAAGUAUAAUCUAUACACAGAAAAGUGUACAAGUCAUGAGGAUACAGGUCAAUGGAUCUUUGGGAAGUAAGCACAUCCAUAUACACGGCACUCAGAGUAAGAAACAUAACAUAAAAAAAAAAGUAAAAGUACCAGCAGACCAUUUUUAUGCCUCCUUUUUUUUUUUUUUAAUUUAUUUACCAUUUUUUUUAAAGUAGGCUCCAAGCCCAGCAUAGAACCCAACAUAGGGCUUGAACUUACGGCCCUGAAAUCAAGACCUGAACUCAGAGCGGGAGUUGUACACCUAAGCGACUGAGCCACCCAGGCGCCCCUGUGCCUCCUUCUGGUCACUCGCUGCCCCUGGCGACCCCCAUCCUGGUUUUAACAACUGCCUACUAGUUUUUCAUGUGCUUUAACUUUGUGUAAAUGAAACAACAUAUUCGAAUUCUAUUCAGCAUCGCAUUUGUGAGGCUUCUGCAGGUCGCAUCGUUUGUAUGUAUUUUUGUUGAUUUGCUUGUUGACUUCCGUUGCCAAGUUGUUUGGAUAGUUCAUUGGUUCUCCCUGCUGUAUAACAUUCCAUCGCACACAUAUAUCUAUUCCCCCAUUAACGGACGUUUCUGGUGAUCCCAGUUUGGGCUGAAAUGAGCAGGGCCGCCAAGAACACUUUGUGUACGUUCCUUUAUGAGACAGCCCCAUUCCAACGACAGCAACCCUCACGAAGUGGGCAGUGGCUUUACAAUUUCCUGUAAAGACACCAUGGAUGGAAGAUAAUCCUCAUGGAUGCAAGCUCCAGCAAAUGGCUAGAAGAUGGCAAAGCCUGAGACUUCUCCACAUAGGAGGGGUGGGUCAAUAGCAAUGGUUCAGUCAGCUCCCGUGUGACAUUGGACAAAAAAGGAGGAAAUCUGAAGAAGUCUCUGCUGGGUGGAUCUCCACACCUGACGAGUAACGAUGAGCCUUGACACCUUCGCUGACGAGGGUGUGAAGUGUCUGCAGUGAGCAAGUGUGGAUGUCAUCGGAGCCACAGCACCAGAUAUCUGUGAGCCUCUACUCGGCACAGGGCGGGAUGGACUCCUUGGCCGGGUUGGAGUUGAGUGUGGCCAUGUGACUUGUUUUGGCUAUUGAAAUCUGAGCAGACGUGACCUCCAAACAGAAGCCUUGAGUGCCGGUGUGCGAUUGAUCACGUUCUCUUUUCCUUUUGCCACAAGGGCUGAGAAUAUUCCGGAAGGAAGCGGCUUGGUCAGGCUGGAUCC